CACGGGGGGGGCAAGCGUUGUUCGGAAUUACUGGGCGUAAAGGGUGCGUAGGCGGCUCAGAAAGUAGGGUGUGAAAGCCCUCGGCUCAACCGAGGAAUUGCGCCCUAAACUACUGGGCUUGAGGAACGCAGAGGUAAGCGGAACUUACGGUGGAGCGGUGAAAUGCGUUGAUAUCGUAAGGAACACCAGGAGCGAAAGCGGCUUACUGGGCGUUUUCUGACGCUGAGGCACGAAAGCCAGGGGAGCGAACGGG
rnacentral:rRNA from 1 species